UACGGAGGGUGCUAGCGUUGUUCGGAAUUACUGGGCGUAAAGCGCGUGUAGGCGGCCCGCUAAGUCUGAUGUGAAAGCCCGGGGCUCACCCCCGGAAGUGCAUUGGAGACUGGCGGGCUAGAGUCCCGGAGAGGAGGGUGGAAUUCCUGGUGUAGCGGUGAAAUGCGUAGAUAUCAGGAGGAACACCGGUGGCGAAGGCGGGAUCCUGGGCCAGUACUGACGCUGAGGAGCGAAAGCGUGGGGAGCAAACAGG
rnacentral:rRNA from 1 species